UACGUAGGGCGCAAGCGUUGUCCGGAAUUAUUGGGCGUAAAGAGCUCGUAGGCGGUUUGUCGCGUCUGCCGUGAAAGUCCGGGGCUCAACUCCGGAUCUGCGGUGGGUACGGGCAGACUAGAGUGAUGUAGGGGAGACUGGAAUUCCUGGUGUAGCGGUGAAAUGCGCAGAUAUCAGGAGGAACACCGAUGGCGAAGGCAGGUCUCUGGGCAUUAACUGACGCUGAGGAGCGAAAGCAUGGGGGAGCGAACAGG
rnacentral:rRNA from 1 species